UUGUUGUGAGUAAAUUUUUUCGUCGAGUAACCAUUUUGCAGAUGAAAUCUGUAGCUACGACGACGAAUUUAUGCGUCACGGAAACUUAAAAUUAUUCCCUAUAAUAUUAGGGUCUCUUUUUGUUUUGCGCCGCACACACCCACCCCUCCUCCCUCACUUCAACCCUCAACGUACCCACCUCUCUUUCACGCUCGGACUCUCAACCUCGGUGAUGACACCCACCCCUCUCUUUGGCUCUCAAUGUCGACCCUCCUUCCUCCGUAUUUUAACACAACACCUUUGUCUCCGUUUUUUACUUUCCCCUACGUAUGCCCUUCUCUCACAUUCUUCUUCAUGCAUGUCUCUCUCUCAAAUAUGAGAUCUCUUCUUUUUCAGCCCCUUAGGGUAUCAGAGCUUCGUCGCAAGACUUCGAUCUUUACAAAUUUCCCUAAAUCUAAGGAGAUUAUCUUCUCUUCUCUUCUUUAGUCUUGAUUUUUGUUUUGGUUCAUAAUCACGAUGGAUUUAUCUGAGAAUGUUGGAAGUCAAACGAAUCAGGCUAUUAAUCUAGAAAACAAAAUUUAUACAGUGAACUUGAAUGAUGAUAAUUUCCUCCAUUGGAAAUUUCAAGUCCUAACGGCACUCGAAGGUUAUGGUCUUGAAUCACACAUUGAUAACUCGCCUAAACCUCCUUCUCAAUUUCUCGAGGUUAGUAAUGAUUCUUCAAUUACAGCAAAGCCUAAUCCUUAUUUUAUCAAAUAGAAGAAACAGGAUAAGUUGAUUUUCUCGUGGUUGCUUGGAUCCAUGAUUGAGGACAUUUUAGAACAUAUGUUACAUUGCCAAUCAACAAGAGAUAUAUGGAGUUGUUUGCUUCAAAUUUACACCUCUCACAAUCUUGCUUGGGUAAUGAGAAUUAAGUCAAAAUUGCAUAAUUUAAAAAAGGGUGGUUCUUCUCUAAAGGAACAUUUUUUUCAAAUUAAAAAGUGUGUUGAUGCUCUUGCUUCAGUCGGCAAACAAGUUUCUCCUGUGAAGAUCACAUUGUGUAUAUUUUGUCUGGUCUUGGAUCUGAAUUUGAGGCUAUGGUUUCGGUAAUUUCAGCUAAGUCUGGUCCACAAUCUGUUCAAGAAGUGAUGGCUCUACUUCUUACACAAGAAAAUAGGAAUGAGAGCAAGUUACAAUUGGUGAACUCUGAUGGUUCUUCCCCUUCAGCACAUGUUGCUAUACAUACUAUCCACUCUGGAAAAGAAAAUGAAAUUCAGCACCAUCCACAUGCAUAUCAAUCUAGUUCAGGCACUAAUAAUUGAGGGUCGCAAUGGUCGUGGAGGAAAGUUCUGGAACAAUAGAAAAAUACAGUGCCAACUUUGUGGCAAGUUUGGUCACAACCUCUAAAAUGUUACCCUCGGUUUGAUCCACGCUUUCAAGGUCCCAACAAUGGUGCUAACUUCUUCAGUUCAACACCUCCGGCUUCCACCUUCAGUCAUGGACAUCCUCAAAUGUCUGCUUUACUCACUGCCCCAUAUAUCAAUCGAGACAGUAAUUGGUACCCGGAUUCUGGUGCAACCAACCAUCUUACAAACAACUUCAAUAAUCUGUCUGUAGGCACAGAAUAUCAUGGAGCUAACCAGGUUCAAGUCGGUAAUGGUGCAGGUUUGCCAAUCUCUCAUUCUGGUCACUCUUCGUUUAUCACACCCUCAAAUCAUGUUCUUCACUUAAACAAUCUCCUUCAUGUUCCUCAAAUAACCAAAAACUUGAUUAGUGUGAGUCAAUUUGCUAGAGAUAACUCUUAUCUUUUUUGAAUUUCACCCUCUUUGUUGUUAUGUGAAGGAUUCAAUCACUGGCAAGGUGCUUCUUCAAGGAACUCUACAUGACGGGUUGUACAGGUUCAAUCUUUCCACCUCCUCCGAUUUGUCUUGUGCUCGCAGUCCUUCUCAAGCUUUAACAACUACUAGUUCUCUUGUUCCUUCUAAUUCUUCUGUUGCUCCUAUGAUUUGUGGCAUAGGAGACUUGGACAUCCUGCCUUCCUCGUUGUUAAUAAAAUUUUGAGACUUUAUAAACCAUCUUUGCCAUCUAAUUUAAGUUUAAAAUUCUACAA